UACGUAGGGUGCAAGCGUUAAUCGGAAUUACUGGGCGUAAAGGGUACGCAGGCGGCUAGGAAAGAAGGAUGUGAAAUCCCAGGGCUCAACCUUGGAACUGCAUUCUUAACUGCCUAGCUAGAGUAUGUCAGAGGGGGGUAGAAUUCCACGUGUAGCAGUGAAAUGCGUAGAUAUGUGGAGGAAUACCGAUGGCGAAGGCAGCCCCCUGGGAUAAUACUGACGCUCAGGUACGAAAGCGUGGGGAGCAAACAGG
rnacentral:rRNA from 2 species